rnacentral:tRNA from 1 species
GUUGAAGUGGCAGAAGAAAUGCAAGAAAUUUAAGCUUUCUUAAUGACCUAGUCCUUUAAUA